rnacentral:rRNA from 1 species
UACGUAGGCAGCAAGCGUUGUUCGGAAUACUGGGCGUAAAGAGUGUGUAGGCGGUGCUCCAAGUCUGGUGUGAAAUCUCCCGGCUUAACUGGGAGGGUGCAUUAGAAACUGGAAUGCUAGAGGAUGGGAGAGGUAAGCGGAAUUCCUGGUGUAGCGGUGAAAUGCGUAGAUAUCAGGAGGAACACCUGUGGUGUAGACAGCUUACUGGACCAUUUCUGACGCUGAGACACGAAAGCGUGGGUAGCAAACAGG